UAUUUCACAAAGGGCGAAAGCCUGAUGCAGCAACGCCGCGUGAGCGAUGAAGGCCUUCGGGUCGUAAAGCCCUGUCCUCAAGGAAGAUAAUGACGGUACUUGAGGAGGAAGCCCCGGCUAACUACUUGCCAGCAGCCGCGGUAAUACGUAGGGUGCUAGCGUUAUCCGGAAUUACUGGGCGUAAAGGGUGCGUAGGUGGUUUCUUAAGUCAGAGGUGAAAGGCUACGGCUCAACCGUAGUAAGCCUUUGAAACUGGGAAACUUGGGUGCAGGAGAGGAGAGUGGAAUUCCUAGUGUAGCGGUGAAAUGCGUAGAUAUUAGGAGGAACACCAGUUGCGAGGGCGGCUCUCUGGACUGUAACUGACACUGAGGCACGAAAGCGGGGGGAGCAAACA
rnacentral:rRNA from 1 species